rnacentral:lncRNA from 1 species
GGGGUCUCGGGCUUCCGCCUUCUUGCUGCCCUCGUUCUUGCCAGGGCCGCGGUUAGUCCCUGCUGGCCACCCCACUGCGACCAUGUUCGUUCCCUGCGGGGAGUCGGCCCCCGACCUUGCCGGCUUCACCCUCCUAAUGCCAGCAGUAUCUGUUGGAAAUGUUGGCCAGCUUGCAAUGGAUCUGAUUAUUUCUACACUGAAUAUGUCUAAGAUUGGUUACUUCUAUACCGAUUGUCUUGUGCCAAUGGUUGGAAACAAUCCAUAUGCGACCACAGAAGGAAAUUCAACAGAACUUAGCAUAAAUGCUGAAGUGUAUUCAUUGCCUUCAAGAAAGCUGGUGGCUCUACAGUUAAGAUCCAUUUUUAUUAAGCUGUUCUAAAGAAAUCCAAAUGGCAGUUCUGCUGAAAUUUGUUUCAGAAGGGGACAACAUCCCAGAUGCAUUAGGUCUUGUUGAGUAUCUUAAUGAGUGGCUUCAGAUACUCAAACCACUUAGCGAUGACCCCACAGUAUCUGCCUCACGGUGGAAAAUACCAAGUUCUUGGAGAUUACUCUUUGGCAGUGGUCUUCCCCCUGCACUUUUCUGAUCUAAUUUCUGUUUUAUACCUUAUACCCAAAACACUUACUACCAACACAGCUGUUAAACAUUCUAUACAAAAAAAUUGUAUGAUCUGGUAUUAGGAAAUUACUUUCACAGUAAAUAUCAAAGAAAAA